GACGGGGGGGGCAAGUGUUCUUCGGAAUGACUGGGCGUCAAGGGCACGUAGGCGGUGAAUCGGGUUGAAAGUGAAAGUCGCCAAAAAGUGGCGGAAUGCUCUCGAAACCAAUUCACUUGAGUGGGACAGAGGAGAGUGGAAUUUCGUGUGUAGGGGUGUAAUCCGUAGAUCUACGAAGGAAGGCCAAAAGCGAAGGCAGCUCUCUGGGUCCCUACCGACGCUGGGGUGCGAAAGCAUGGGGAGCGAACAGG
rnacentral:rRNA from 1 species